UAACCUAUGGUGGAUGUCAGUGGUUCGAGUCCACUUAUCUCUAGCCCAUGAUCCUAGCCAAUACAAUGGUAUAUAAUAGCACACAAUUAUAUGAAAAUGAGCAUAGAUCUGGAGAUUCCCGAAUAGGUUAACCUUUUUAACUGUUUCUUAAUCCAUGGACAGGCAAGAGACAACCUGGCGAAUUAAAACAUCUUAUUAGCUAGAGGAAUAGAAAUCAAAAGCGAUUCUCAUAGUAGCGGCGAGAGAAAUGGGAGCAACCUAAACUGUGAAAACAGGGUUGUGGGAGAGCACAAUAUAAGCUCUGUGCUUCUAGGCGAAUUAGUUGAGUCCUGCACCCUAGAUGGUGAAAAUACAAUAGCCAAAAGAAUCAUUGGGUUAUGCUCUAACCCGAGUAGCAUGGGGCACGUGGAAUCCCGUGCGAAUCAGCAAGGACCACCUUGCAAGGAUAAAUACUCCUGGGUGACCGAUAGCGAAGUAGUACCAUGAGGGAAAGGUGAAAAGAACCCCCAUCGGAGAGUGAAAUAGAACAUGAAACCGUAAGCUCCCAAGCAGUGUGAGGAAAAUGAUAUCUCUAACCACGUGCCUCUUGAAGAAUGAGCCGGCGACUUAUAGGUAGUGGCUUGGUUAAGGGAACCCACUGAAGUCGUAGCGAGAGCGAGUCUUCAUGGGCUAAUUGUCACUACUUAUGGACCCAAACCUAGGUGAUCUAUCCAUGACCAGGAUGAAGCUUGGGUGAAACUAAGUGGAGUUUUGAACCGAAUGAUGUUGAAAAAUCAGUGGAUGAGUCGUGGUUAGGGGUGAAAUGCCACUCGAACCCAGAGCUAGCUGGUUCUCCCCGAAAUGUGUUGAGGCACAACAGUUGACUGGACCAUCUAGGGGUAAAGCACUGUUUCGGUAUGGGCUGCGAGAGCAGUACCAAAUCGAGGCAAACUCUGAACACUAGAUUGCCCCGAUAAAAGUGGUAAAGGUCAUCCAGUGAGACGAUGGGGGAUAAGCUUCAUUGUCAAGAGGGAAACAUCCCAGAUCAUCAGCUAAGGCCCCUAAAUGACCGCUUAGUGAUGAAGGAAGUACGAGUACAAAGACAGCCAUGAGGUUUUCCUAGAAGAAUCCAACCUUGAAAGAGUGCGUAAUAGCUCACUGAUCGAGCACUCUUGCAUCGAAGAUUAAUGGGACUAAGCGAUCUGUCGAAGUUGUGGGAUGUAAAAAUAUAUCGGUAGGGGAGCAAAAUGGCCCAAAUAUGCUAGUUCUACUAGCUUGGAAGGUAGUGGAGCCAAAGCACCCCACAAGGAAGUAAGUG
rnacentral:ncRNA from 1 species